GACGAACGCUGGCGGCGUGCUUAACACAUGCAAGUCGAACGGAAAGGCCCUGCUUUUGUUGGGUGCUCGAGUGGCGAACGGGUGAGUAACACGUGAGUAACCUGCCCUUGACUUGGGGAUAACUUCAGGAAACUGGGGCUAAUACCGGAUAGGAGCUCCUGCUGCAUGGUGGGGGUUGGAAAGUUUCGGCGGUUGGGGAUGGACUCGCGGCUUAUCAGCUUGUUGGUGGGGUAGUGGCUUACCAAGGCUUUGACGGGUAGCCGGCCUGAGAGGGUGACCGGCCACAUUGGGACUGAGAUACGGCCCAGACUCCUACGGGAGGCAGCAGUGGGGACUAUUGCACAAUGGGCGGAAGCCUGAUGCAGCAACGCCGCGUGCGGGAUGACGGCCUUCGGGUUGUAAACCGCUUUCGCCUGUGACGCAGCGUGAGUGACGGUAAUGGGUAAAGAAGCACCGGCUAACUACGUG
rnacentral:rRNA from 1 species